AGAGUUUGAUCCUGGCUCAGGACGAACGCUGGCGGCGUGCUUAACACAUGCAAGUCGAACGAUGAAGCCCAGCUUGCUGGGUGGAUUAGUGGCGAACGGGUGAGUAACACGUGAGUAACCUGCCCCCGACUCUGGGAUAAGCCCGGGAAACUGGGUCUAAUACCGGAUAUUACCUUUGACCGCAUGGUUGUUGGUGGAAAGAUUUAUCGGUGGGGGAUGGACUCGCGGCCUAUCAGCUUGUUGGUGAGGUAAUGGCUCACCAAGGCGACGACGGGUAGCCGGCCUGAGAGGGUGACCGGCCACACUGGGACUGAGACACGGCCCAGACUCCUACGGGAGGCAGCAGUGGGGAAUAUUGCACAAUGGGCGAAAGCCUGAUGCAGCGACGCCGCGUGAGGGAUGACGGCCUUCGGGUUGUAAACCUCUUUCAGUAGGGAAGAAGCGAAAGUGACGGUACCUGCAGAAGAAGCGCCGGCUAACUACGUGCCAGCAGCCGCGGUAAUACGUAGGGCGCAAGCGUUAUCCGGAUUUAUUGGGCGUAAAGAGCUCGUAGGCGGUUUGUCGCGUCUGCCGUGAAAGUCCGAGGCUCAACCUCGGAUCUGCGGUGGGUACGGGCAGACUAGAGUGAUGUAGGGGAGACUGGAAUUCCUGGUGUAGCGGUGAAAUGCGCAGAUAUCAGGAGGAACACCGAUGGCGAAGGCAGGUCUCUGGGCAUUUACUGACGCUGAGGAGCGAAAGCAUGGGGAGCGAACAGGAUUAGAUACCCUGGUAGUCCAUGCCGUAAACGUUGGGCACUAGGUGUGGGGGACAUUCCACGUUUUCCGCGCCGUAGCUAACGCAUUAAGUGCCCCGCCUGGGGAGUACGGCCGCAAGGCUAAAACUCAAAGGAAUUGACGGGGGCCCGCACAAGCGGCGGAGCAUGCGGAUUAAUUCGAUGCAACGCGAAGAACCUUACCAAGGCUUGACAUGUGCCAGACCGCCUCAGAGAUGGGGUUUCCCUUCGGGGCUGGUUCACAGGUGGUGCAUGGUUGUCGUCAGCUCGUGUCGUGAGAUGUUGGGUUAAGUCCCGCAACGAGCGCAACCCUCGUUCCAUGUUGCCAGCACGUAAAGGUGGGGACUCAUGGGAGACUGCCGGGGUCAACUCGGAGGAAGGUGGGGAUGACGUCAAAUCAUCAUGCCCCUUAUGUCUUGGGCUUCACGCAUGCUACAAUGGCCGGUACAAUGGGUUGCGAUACUGUGAGGUGGAGCUAAUCCCUAAAAGCCGGUCUCAGUUCGGAUUGGGGUCUGCAACUCGACCCCAUGAAGUCGGAGUCGCUAGUAAUCGCAGAUCAGCAACGCUGCGGUGAAUACGUUCCCGGGCCUUGUACACACCGCCCGUCAAGUCACGAAAGUUGGUAACACCCGAAGCCGAUGGCCUAACCACCUUGUGUGGGGGGAGUCGUUGAAGGUGGGACUGGCGAUUGGGACUAAGUCGUAACAAGGUAACCGUA
rnacentral:rRNA from 1 species